GAGACCUGGUUGCCUCUUUUCUCUCAUAUUUCCUUAGAACAUUUAUGAAAUGAAAUAUUUCAGUCCUAUCAUCAUUUUUCCCCUGUGCUGGGAAUGAAUUAUAAAUGGCACCUCCUCUAUCUUCACAUAUAGCACUCAUGGCAAGAUUUCGGAUAUAGUAGGUAAUCCAUGAAUGUUCAUCUUCAUUGCUUAUAUUCAGCUGGCUCUCUGUGUACAAAAUUUGCUUCAUAUUUUUCUUGCAGAAACUUCUUUCUUGAUUCUCAAGUUUUUCUUACAAAUUUCUAAGACAACUUCAAGAUUAAGUGGACUACUUGAAAGGACAUAACAAAAUACAAAGCCAGUUUUUACUACCGAGCAGAUGACCACCUUUUCCAAGGAGUCACUUUGUACAGAAAGACUGCUUUGUAGCUGGCAUCAGACCCACUAAGCAAAGCAGAAGAAUCUUGAGAUUCUUAGAGAAAGUCGUAUCAAAGAGGAAGAAGCACAGUCUGGCCAAUUAAAUCAGGUAGGACCCAACCAUAAACAUCAGUCAUGAUUUAACAACCCAAUUACACAUUUAUUCAUGGGAUACCAGUGGCAUUAUUCUUUGAAGAAAUGUUUUCACUGUGCCCUUCUCAGGAGGUCUUUUGACACAUUAGCAGGUGGAAAGCUUUGGUGUGAAGUAUGCAGAAAAUUCCAGGAGCUGUGCAGUUAUGUAGCAGGCCUAUGAGAGUUUAAAAACCAUGGGAUGAGGCGGCUUUGGGGAAGGCACCUCCCCCGCCCACCCUGAGGCUGAGGCUACCAGAUGUUCCCAGCCUUGGGGCCUGGUCCCAGUCUCCAGUGGAACUCUGUCGAUGACUCUGUCGAUGGCUCUAGCUCACUGCAAAGCGGACCAGUCACAGAAGGAGGGGGACGGAGACAAAGACCCCAUUCUCCAGCUCCGCCAGUGUUUGUGGAGUAAAGAACUACAGGGAGCCCACUCAGUGUGCCGGCCGCGUCCCUUCCACUGAACGACAAUCACUAGGCUUGAGAUGCGUCUACACCGCCCAUUAGGAGCCUGCAGAAACUAGAACUAGAAUUGGGGCUUCUACAAUGCGACGGGUCGGCGUGUGUGUCAACAGAUGGCCCAGGUGACUGAGAAAAACACGGGCGAAAGGUAGAAACUCAGAAAUACUUCUCCCUCGCUGUUCUGAAAAGAGCCUGAAGCCCAGGUGGCAAAGGCCCAGGGGUGCAGUUGGCUACCCUGCGUGACUUCCUGGCGAUCAAGGAGGGCAAGCAGGGCGCAGAAAAAAGGACGGGAGAGGGGACUUGGACUUACAGCCAGGGUCACCCUAAGGGCUUGGCCUCUUUUACACGACGAGGGAGACCCAGUCUUCUCAUCCAAUGGCAUUGAACACUCCGAAGGCAGCAGAAAGGGUAAAGGAGGUGGACCUACGCUGGGUGGGGCUCGGCGCUGGGUUUAGACACCCGUGACCGAGCCCACGGCUGCUUCCCUCCGGGGAACCGGGCCUAACCAACCUGCCUGCUGCAGAAGGGCUCAGCCUACGCCCAGGGCCACGGGGCACAGUCUUGGUUCGGCCCAGCUCCUGACUUCAGGGCCGUGAGAUCGAGCCCCACGCUGGGCUCCACGAUGAGCGCACACUCUGCUUCGCAUCCUCUCCCUCUCUCGCGUGCGCUCUCUCUCAUCCUCCCAAAUGAAUAAAUACUUAAAAAAAAAAAAAAAGGAAGCUCUGCCCACCCAGCACUUAAUGUGGCCCAUGCUCCGUAACGUGGGCUAUUCUCAUUAUUCUCUUGUAAAGCGCCGCGGAGACGUAACUCGCCAGUCCCAUCACCGUGGCUCAGUGAGCUGGUGUCAUUGGAAGCACGGGAGCCAACAGCAAGGUGACCCAAGACAAGCAAGAUACUACACGAGCGUAGGCUGAGCAUCACAUCUUUCCUAACAAUCCUUGCCUGCAAAGGGGCCAUCCUACGUUGAUUUUGCUGCCACGGUUUGCUUUCUGCAAACCCUCAGCAUCAGCCAAAUCCAUCCUCACGAUUCCUAAGGGUACGUUAGCCAAGAUGUUUCACACCCAUACAGCAAACCUUUGCAUUUAGCUUCCAGUUGGAAGGAAACAGGAACUAGAAGCCCAAGUUCAAUGAUACCAUAAGGAAGGAAGAAAUCCAGAAUGUGGGACAUUCUGCAGGAUAGAUAACUGAUCAGGUCUCUUUAUUAGAUCUAGAGUCGUGAAAAGAUCCUUUAAAGGCCAGAACAAAAGGGAUUUAAGGGUCAUAUCGAUCACAUGCGGUGCCUGGGCCUGGACUGGAUCCUGAUUUAGACAAUUUGGGGGACAUUUUAAGAAACUAGAAAGGGGGAUAGGAGAUAAAGAUAGGAUACACUCUUAUUAACUUGAAAGGGUAGCUAGUGUGAAAUGUCACAAACAGCAAAUCAGCAUAGCUCAUUUAACCAAAGUGCGCACACGCACACACAAGCAUCUGGAAGGAUAAACAGUACUAGGAGAAUUAACUACUGAUUUUUGGAAGGUCAAUACACAAGGUUUUUGUUGGUGGUGGUUGAUGUUUUGUCGGAGAUGCACAAGACUGAUUUUAUAAUGACAACAACAAAUUGAUUUUAAUUUCAAAAAGACCUGAUUCAGGACGCCCGGGUGGCUCAGGGGUUGAGCGUCUGCCUUCGGCUCAGGUCGUGGUCCCCGGGGUCCUGGGAUCGGGUCCCACAUUGGCCUCCCCACGGGGAGCCUGCUUCUCCCUCUGCCUGUGUCUCCCAUGAAUGAAUAAAUAAAAUCUUUAAAGAGCUGAUUCUAAGACAAGGUAUAAAGACGUAAGGUGAAAGUUCAUGGAGGCAAAUAGCGGGUCUGAUCAGCAGAACCGGGUCUUGCUGCCUCCACUGCCACCAUCCAGCCGGGUACUGACACAGGCGGUACACAGUCCUCGGUGGGGCGGGGUCCAGGUAAGAGAGGCAAUAUUUUCAAAAUAGUGAUCGGGGCGCCUGGGGGGCUCAGUGGUUGGGCGUCUGCCCGGCUCAGGUGCCGGGGUGGAUCGAGCCUCCCCCUCCGCAGCGCCUUGGGCUCCCUGCUGUUUCUCCACCAUCCCCCACCCAGCUCACACUCUCAAAUAAAUGAAAUGAAAAAAAAAAAUAAGUGUGAUCAGUGC